rnacentral:lncRNA from 1 species
GUGGUACUAAUAGGCGCUGGCUCCAGAUUUUGUUGAGAUGAUCAAGAGGAAGCCUAAUCCAAUGCCUCAUAUUGCUUUGGGAUUCCUUAUCGAAGGAGAUCCUUGGAGAGCUCCCAGAUGUGGCCGUCUGAAGAGUGUCACAUUGUCUACAGUUGUACCUGCCAGAGAAAUCCUCCUUCUUCCCUUAGAAUUUCUGAUGCUGGAGAGAUCUGAGAGUUCUCGGAAAAUGUUUAAAGUCACCAGCCAAGACUGGAGCAUGCAGGAUCUUGAUAAUCCUCUUGGCAGUAGGCACCACACCCGUCAUGGCUUACCUCGAUGCCAUGCCCUGUAUGCCACUGUCACCAGCCUUCCUCUGGGGAUCUUUUCACCAGACUGA